rnacentral:rRNA from 1 species
CCCCUGCGCAUUAAGCGGGCAGGCAAUGUGGUGUUCAGGCAUGAACCUGGGGGUGCUCGUCUGCUCGAAGUCCAACUCCGAUUCUGGCUUUGGAUUUGUCCCAUAGAGGGUGAAAGGCCCGUUCGAGCAGACAUAGUGGAUAUUGAGCUCCUCUCAGAUGUUUGUGCUUUCGAGUCGGAUUGCUUGAGAAUGCAGUCCAAAGCGGGUGGUAAACUCCAUCCAAGGCUAAAUACUGGCACGAGUCCGAUAGUAGACAAGUACCGUGAGGGAAAGUUGAAAAGUACUCUGAAGAGAGAGUAAAUAGUACGUGAAACCGAUUGUAUGGAAGCUGGUGGAGUCAAGCUUCUUGCUUUGGCAAUUGCCGUAGCUAUCACUUCGUUCUUCGACUAUGGACACUAUGGCUUGGAAAUAGCUGGUCGGUUCGCCGACUCGGUCAUUCCGGGUAGUAUGAUUGAUUGUGUCCUAUCGUCCGGUAGCUGCGUUAUUUGUCAUUGCUAACAUCAAAAUCAAUGCGUUUGUGGUGUUCGGCAGUCUAACCAGGUUAUAGAGGACCUCGUGUUCGCUAAGCUUGGGACGGCAGGUGGUGGCAGUGAGGACCUCGGUCGCAUUGUCACGUAUUAAUGAUUUCGAUCUGCUGAUUGCCGAGCCUUUUACGACUGUCAGUUGCAUUGUUCUCAUGUUGA